rnacentral:misc_RNA from 1 species
UGAUGUUGCUGUGGCCAUUCUCAAGUUAUGGCAGAAGGGCUGAUUAAAUGUAGUUUGCAGGAUUUUAUAGGUAAUUAAUUAAACUACACCGUCUUAAUGUCUCUGCCUAAGAUAUUGUGCUUGGAGCAGUAGUUUCAAACGUAGGAUUAGCAAUUUAGUAUCUUUAAUCUGUAUCAUCUUCUUAAGUAAGCAAAUUCUGCAGUAAAAUUCAGAUAAA